rnacentral:rRNA from 1 species
GUAGGUGGCAAGCGUUGUCCGGAAUUAUUGGGCGUAAAGCGCGCGCAGGCGGUCCUUUAAGUCUGAUGUGAAAGCCCACGGGCUCAACCGUGGAGUGUCAUUGGAAACUGGGGGACUUGAGUACAGAAGAGGAAAGCGGAAUUCCACGUGUAGCGGUGAAAUGCGUAGAGAUGUGGAGGAACACCAGUGGCGAAGGCGGCUUUCUGGUCUGUAACUGACGCUGAGGCGCGAAAGCGUGGGGAGCAAACAGGAUUAGAUACCCUGGUAGUCCACGCCGUAAACGAUGAGUGCUAAGUGUUAGGGGGUUUCCGCCCCUUAGUGCUGCAGCUAACGCAUUAAGCACUCCGCCUGGGGAGUACGGCCGCAAGGCUG